GGAAUGACCUGGGAUUCAGGAGGUUGAAGUACGAGGGCAGACUGAAAAUGUCAGGGUGUGGGGGCUGGAGGACAGGACAGAUUACAGGUAACGAUAAAGAAACAAGAUUGACCGAUUUCUGGAGAACAACAUUCUCGAUGUCCGCAGGGAACAGGGAGAACCCAGAGGGUUCGAUGGCGUGGUCCAGUGUCUCCUCCGUCAACCAGGGAUCCACAAAGCACAAAACGUUACUUUAUUUUGUUUCCCGCAGAUCCAAUGAGGUACCGAGUUUCCAGGCUGGUGCUCUGCCGCGUCCCACACACACACACUCGUAUCCUCCCGCAACUGCCGGUCGGUGGGACAAUCCGCCCGGGAAUAAACAUAGAAACCUCCGGCACAAAACAGGAGGUUGCUGUGCCGAACAUGUCCUCACCUUGGAAACACCUGGGAGAUGAGGCGGUGAAUGUGAGGAGCUGGAGCCUGGAGCGGAGACACUGUGGCCGCCUCUGCCGUGUGCUCAGGACGCGGCUUUAUUAAUGAACUGAAGCCCCGAGGUGACCGGAUAUUUCACCGGCUCAUCACCUGAUAACGUCUGACCGGCGCAAUGCCCACGAUCCCUCUCUUCUACCGACUCCUCAGGACCCGACUGCUCACCGUGUCUUCAUGCACCCGAAAUCAAUGCACACCGCAAAUCCAGUCCUUUGAAUAUGAAACAAUGUUUGAUGAGUUUCCAGCAGUAAAUCUGACCUACUGCGAGAAUGACCUGUUUUAAGACUCUUGAAAACCGAAAGGGAAUCUGAACAAAUUACAACUUUGCAUGGAAAAAAUUCCUCACCCACUGUAAGCACAAAUUGAUGACAAGCGAUUCUGUUGUAAAUCCUGAUAAAUAGCUUGUAGAUCGUUUCUUUAUCGUUACCAAUAAUUCACGCAUAAGACAGCAACAUCAACAAUCCCAGUGAAAUUAUAUUUUGAUCCUCUGGAAAAUGGUUAAACUUUGGCAAUAAUUUCCUUAAUGUACACUGAACCAACAAAUUCUCAGACUUCAUUAAAUCGUGUAUUCUAUAAUCAAAUAAAGGCAUUGACAGAAACAAGGUGGGGUUACCAAGAACACGACAGUGGGAUGUUUUGCAUAACCCAACAAGCACAUAUUUCAAGCAUGGUAAGAACCCAGGCAACGAAAACUAAAAACAAACUAACCUGUCAAGCCAAACGACAAAAUAAUCCUGCACAGGAAUAAAAAUUAAAAUGUGCAUGUUUCCUGAACAGAUAUAAUCGGAAGAAUCUGACAAAUCAGAAAUAAACUGCUUAAAGUGUUGACCAUGUAAAAUUAGGCUUCUUGCAUUUCACUUCAAUAUUUCAAUCCCAUUACAUAUCUUCACAAGUAGACUGGGAUGCAGAAACCCCCACAAAUCAGAGCAUCAUUUACAGCUUCCCACAAAGCACCAGUUACACCAAGAUACCUUUCUGCAGCUUUCACAACAAUUUUAAUUUCCUCAGUAGGGUGAGAUGCCUUAGCAGUACAAUUCACCACAUUAGUCAUAAACAUCACAAACUUCAUUUUAUCAAGCAGUGAGGUGUCUUUCAUGAGAGAAUUGUGAUGACGACAUAUAUCCACUGACGUCACAGUCUGUUCUCUGAGUGGGAUCACUUUAUCCAGUUUACCUGCUCUGCUUGCUGUACUUGUCCUUGAACAGGCCCUUCUGCUCACUGUGUUGUUCUGAACCAAUUGACCUGGUCACUUAAUGCCUUACUAAACCAAUCCAUUCUGCCUAAACAAGGAACACAUCCCUCCAUUCUCCUCACAUUCACGUGGUAUCUAAUAGCCUCUUUCACAUCUGUCUCCACCACCCCUGACAUUCACUCCAGACACCCACCACGUUGGGAAUGAAAAAUGAAACUUGAAACACAAAUCUCCUUCAAACAUCCUGAGUCAGGUUUUUAAAAUCAUUGUCUUUUCUAAUUGUGUUCUUUUUUUCAACAGCAGCUAUGCAGAGAAAAGAUACAAAAUGCACUAAAUCACAAAAUACUUCAAUAGUGCAAAAAGGUCCAAUGAGGAUGUGUUCCCCCUUUCUCCUGAAGUGCAUGCCCUCUGGCAUUGGACAUUUCCUCCUUAGAGAAAAAAUCCCGGCUCUCCACUGUCUGUGUCUCUCACAUUCCUGUAAACGUCUGUCAGAUCUCCCUCAGCCUCUGCCACUCCGGAGAAAAUUCCCCGAGAUUGUCCGGUGUCUCUUUAUUCAGGCAGCAUCCUGUUAAGCCUCUUCCACUCACCAUCCAAAACCUCCGCAUUAUUCCUCUCUUCGAAUGCAAUUCUCCAGAUGGAAUUAAACUAGAGAUUUAUACAACUGCAACAUAACUGCCUGACAAUGGAACCACUAUCUGGGAGUUAUGAACUCGGAUUCCAAGAUCCCCCAGUAGAUCAACACAGUCCAAUCUCAUUGAAACCUACCGAAUGUUGAAAGGACUGGGUAAGGUGGAUGUGGAGAAUGUAUUUCCUGUGGUGGGGCACAGCCACAAAGUUGAGGAGCCACCUUUUCAAACAGAGGCACGACAAAGUACAGAAAACGUAAUGCAUUACAUUUUCCUCCAUUUUGCUUUGAUACCUUACCCCGAAACAACACCACAACGUCAUCAGUGGGGCCUUCUGGGAGUUGCAGUCAAUGUCCUCGCUCGCUCCCUGUC